AAGAAGUUUCCAGGCCAUAUUGUUGAAGAGAUAAGUUUGAAAAGUGGUGAUGUAUGCUGAGAUCUCGGAAUCCACUGAUUGGGAAUGGCAAUGGCGCCCAUCUGAGAGGUGGCGAAACUGAGUUCCAGUGAGUUGUAAGAAAGCCCUGACAAAAUGAAUUCAACAAAGGAGUUGAACUCAAGCCAAGCAUAGCUGACAUUCCCAGGAGGUCUCCCAUCUCAGCACAGGCCAGAUACAGGCCUGCUUAGCUUCAGCAUUGUGUGUCCUCAGACUGGGAUCAUGAACUGUGACC